rnacentral:tRNA from 1 species
GCCUGGGUGGUGGAACAGGUAGACACAAGGGACUUAAAAUCCCUUGCACCAUGCGUGCGUGCGGGUUCGAUUCCCGCCCCAGGCACCA